UACGAAGGGUGCGAGCGUUGUUCGGAAUUACUGGGCGUAAAGGGUUCGUAGGCGGGAGCUUAAGUCAAGUGUGAAAUCCCCAAGCUUUACUUGGGACGUGCAUUUGAAACUGGGCUUCUUGAGUGUUGGAGAGGGUGACGGAAUUGCUGGUGUAGGAGUGACAUCCGUAGAGAUCAGCAGGAACACCGGAGGCGAAGGCGGUUACCUGGCCAAACACUGACGCUGAGGAACGAAAGCGUGGGGAGCAAACAGG
rnacentral:rRNA from 1 species